GAUGAACGCUAGCGGCAGGCUUAAUACAUGCAAGUCAAGGGGGUAGCAAUACAACCGGCGCACGGGUGAGUAACGCGUACACAACAUACCAUAUACUGGGGUAUAGCUUCGGGAAACUGAAGGUAAUCCCCCAUAAUAUUGCGGGAAGGCAUCUUUCUGCAAUUAAAGUUUCGACGGUAUAUGGUUGGUGUGCGUUUGAUUAGCUAGUUGGUAGGGUAACGGCCUACCAAGGCGACGAUCAAUAGCUGGCGUGAGAGCGCGACCAGCCACACUGGAACUGAGACACGGUCCAGACUCCUACGGGAGCAGCAGUAGGGAAUAUUGGACAAUGGGCGAAAGCCUGAUCCAGCCAUGCCGCGUGAUAGAUGAA
rnacentral:rRNA from 1 species